rnacentral:rRNA from 1 species
AGAUUAAACUGAAGAGUUUGAUCCUGGCUCAGAUUGAACGCUGGCGGCAUGCCUUACACAUGCAAGUCGAACGGCAGCACGGAGCUUGCUCUGGUGGCGAGUG